rnacentral:rRNA from 1 species
UAACACGUAGGUAACCUGCCCAUGUGCCCGGGAUAACUUCUGGAAACGGAUGCUAAAACCGGAUAGGUAGCAGACAAGCAUUUGACUGCUAUUAAAGUGGCCUUGGCCAUGAACAUGGAUGGACCUGCGGUGCAUUAGCUAGUUGGUGAGGUAACGGCCCACCAAGGCGACGAUGCAUAGCCGGCCUGAGAGGACGGACGGCCACAUUGGGACUGAGACACGGCCCAAACUCCUACGGGAGGCAGCAGUAGGGAAUUUUCGUCAAUGGGGGGAACCCUGAACGAGCAAUGCCGCGUGAGUGAGGAAGGUCUUCGGAUCGUAAAGCUCUGUUGUAAGAGAAAAACGGCACUCAUAGGGAAUGAUGAGUGAGUGAUGGUAUCUUACCAGAAAGUCACGGCUAACUACGUGCCAGCAGCCGCGGUAAUACGUAGGUGGCGAGCGUUAUCCGGAAUGAUUGGGCGUAAAGGGUGCGUAGGUGGCAGAUCAAGUCUGGAGUAAAAGGUAUGGGCUCAACCCGUACUGGCUCUGGAAACUGAUCAGCUAGAGAACAGAAGAGGACGGCGGAACUCCAUGUGUAGCGGUAAAAUGCGUAGAUAUAUGGAAGAACACCGGUGGCGAAGGCGGCCGUCUGGUCUGGAUUCUGACACUGAAGCACGAAAGCGUGGGGAGCAAAUAGGAUUAGAUACCCUAGUAGUCCACGCCGUAAACGAUGAGAACUAGGUGU